CAAAAAGGAUCAUCACUUUAUUAAACUAAAGUCAUUUCAAAUUAGCAACAUAAAACAAUCAUAUGUAAACAAUGUACAAAUGCAUCAGCGUUAAAGAGAUUUCAAGACUUCAUAGAUAUGUUUGAUCUAAAUGCAUAAAUACAGUAUGCAUAUUUGUUACUGAUUUAUUGAGAGGCUAAACUAGACGUUGUAAGUUUAACAAUUAGCAUAUACACACGACUCUUUGAGUUCAAAUAAAAACUGACACAUGGUCUCAGCUACAAACUGCAACAGUCGCCAUUUAAGUAGUGUAAUUUACUCCCUUGCAAACUUGCAAAAAGCAGCAACAAAAUGGCAACAAAAAAGUGACACUGUAGUGAAAUGACAAAGGACUGGAGCCUUUAGACCCGCCUCUCUUUAGAGAGGUUAGAAGCAGUAACAAUAAAACCAUUUUAUAUCAACAAAAACACCAUCUACUCUAUCUAUGGCAAUAGCUGCAAUACUGACUGAUAAAUAACAAAAGGAACAUCUUAUUUUUCUCCCCAAGUUUAAAAAGCCAGUUUCUCCUGUGCUGAGCUCCUUGUCUGUGCUAACUCCACUGUUAGGGAGGGAGCAGACAUGCGUGUCUUUUCAUAUGAUGUCACCAGGUGCCUCAAUGCAGACACCCCAACCAGCCAGUAGUAGACUUUUCACACUGUCCUUAGCCCCAGGCUGGGGGGGGGGGGGGUUGUUCCCUUAUCCACUGUAAGGGUCGAAGGACAGAGGGGUGUUGUAUGCUGCCUCUGAUGCAAAUUGUGAUUUGUGAUAUUGGUCUUUAUAAAUAAAAUCGAAUUGAACUGAAUAAAAAAAAAAAAAAUCACACUGGCACAAUCCUGGCACAUGCUAAGUGUGCCGACUUUAGCCUGCUCUGGAGCAGAGUUAGCCCCGAGUUUGCAGGGUUAUCUCCUGAGAAUGGACUUCACCUGGGGCUAAAAGUUGCCAGUGUGAGAAACAAGGCUAAGUAAACAAUAGCGUGUUAGAAUGUUAACAUGCAUUAUGUGUUCAAACAAACAUUUAGCCCUGGGAUAGUGAAAAUGAGUUGUGUAGCCCUGGGCUUAGCUUGACCCUUGGUAAACAAUGUGUAAGUAAAAAUGGGCUACAUUAGCUGAGGCUAAGAGAAUGCCGUGUGAAAAGCCGAUAUGAGUCUCUAGUGCAGUGACAAAGACAUGAUCCCUCACCAGCUUCCCAUCAACAAACACUGAGAAAAAUUGUGUUUGAAUCAAGCCCUUAAGCCC